rnacentral:tRNA from 1 species
GCCGCCGUGGUGAAAUCGGUAGACACGUCGGAUUCAAAAUCCGAUGCUUUCGGGCGUGGCGGUUCAAGUCCGCCCGGCGGUACCA